GCCUCAGAGGGACACCCAACUCGGGAGGCAGUGGACGGUCCCGGUGCCCCUCAGCCGUGUCUACAGGGGUGCGCGAGGGUGUUGAGCAGGCAGGAACUGAAGAGGUCCGGAGGUUUCCGAACGCUGCGUGGUGCUCAGCCGGGAGACGGCAGGUCAAGGGCACCGAGUUCCAGUGGGAAUCACUCAGGACGCGCUUCAUGAUGCUGAGACUCCUUCCUUAACCGAGACAAACUGGACCCUCGGUCCUCAAUCUGUCCUCUGCCCUGAUCCCCCAUAUCUCUCGGCCGCCACUCUGGUGUCCACCGCCCUGUCUGCUCCCUUUGCUCCAUCCAUACUGCGAGCCCUCCACCCUCACACAGCUACAGCCAGAGCAGCACACCCACCCCCACAGCACGGUCACUGCAACGGGGACCAGUCCACCUUGGGGCUCCACCUGUCUGCAGGCACUGGGCAGGAGGGACAGGGGCCCAAACCCCAGGGCUCUGGCACACAGAGGCCGGGCUGUCGGUUGGGGGUCCUGCUUCGUGCCGAAUGUGUCUUCCCCACGCCUGCUUGCCGGAACUCACAGACUUGCCGGCAUGUGUGCUCUUGGGAGCUGGGAGCUCCCUGAGAUGUCAUCACUUUACAUUCCUUCUCCAGGAACUUCGAGUUCUCCGUUUCCUUGGAGUCCAUCCCUGGAAAGUUCCCACAUUCCCUGAUGGUGUUGCUUGCUUCCUCAGGCUUCUUCCAGCGGGGCUGUGCCGGGACACCUCUCCCGGCCCCUCUGGGCUGGCGCAGGUGGGCUCUCCCCUGAAGGCAGCUGUGGGGUGUCUGAGGUGUGGGUGAUAGCAGGUCUCUCAUGGGACUGGGUCUCCGGGCUUCCAGCCGGGGAGGGGGACGCAGCAGCAGCACAGGUCCUGGGAGGACAGGGCACGUCAGCAGCUGAGGCUCCUGGGGCAGGUCCCUGCCACAGGGACAGCCCCAGUCCCAGGGAGCCCCAGCGGCUGGGACUGUGGACUGUCAGCUGGGAUUGGCCUCGGGUGAAUACUGUGGGGCUCAUGGGGGUGAGGCUUGCUGGGUUCCCCCGUGCAGUGCAGCCCCUCUAAGGGGAUGUCCCCCCCGGGGCCCAGCUGCUCUGCACUGGGGGACACAGGGCUGCAGGUCGAAGGCUGCCCUCACUUCUCCACGUGACCACACCUGCCUGUUGCGCUCUCAGCACUUCUGCUGCCUCUUCGCCGCAGUCGGAGAUUCCCCAGAGCUAUUUCCGUCGUCUGUAGCUGUGUUUUGUAACCGUUCUUGUUUUUGUGGGGGACCCGAGCGUCGGGGCCCCCACAGCCCACCAUCUUGCUGAUGUCACCAUCUGCUCUGGGAGUUUCCACAGCCCCCCCCCGGGGAGCCCCGCGUGUAGCCAGUGUUGGAGCAUACCCCACACACAGCUGUUGUGUGGGACAGUGUUGUGUGGGACAGGGGAGAAACACGGUCUGUUCCUGAGACCUGUUUUAGGGCGCUACACAGGGAGCUCUGUCCUGCUUGGAGAAAUAAGGGAUGAAAAUACAUAACAGAAAAGAUGGGCUCAGAAACGUUCCAGCACAAAAGGCUGCGGUUGUCCUCACUAGCUCCUUCCCCCGAGAGGACAUGCUGCACCUUCCCGCCACGUGGAGGUGGGUGAUGACGGUGUCACCCUGGCACCGGGAGGGAGGAACAAGGGCAGUUGUUAUAAGUUUGCACUGUCUGAAUGAACAGACCAUCUACUGGGUGGAGACUUCUAGAUGGUGCCAAGAACACAGUGAGAUGAACGGACAGCUGUCACCUCUAAGAAGAUUAUGACUGAGUCGAGGACCCAGCAUCACUCGGAUUCAAAAUGGAGCCAGCGUCUAUCUGGAAAGUUCUGACAUUUUCUGCUGAGGAUUAGGACAGGACUGAAACAGCCCUAUGACUUUGCAUCUUCUACCAUCUUCAUAAAGUCUGAGCUGUGCUUACCUGGGCACCUCGCCAGCCGGUCAGUGUGUGCUCACGGGGGUCCUACUAUGGGCCAGGGCCUGUGUGGACACUGGGCAUGCUGAGGGGAAGAACACAGGGUCCCAGCCCUCCAGCUGCUCACACAGAGUGAUAUCUUCUGUCUCCUGUGGCAUGAGGUGCAGACUUUUACAAACUCGAAGAUUUUAUGACCCACUCGCUUCUGCCUUCAUUAUGGGGGACACUUUCAUUGCAGAGCAGACUGUCUGGGGGCUUCCAGGCCCACCGAGGCUCUGCAUAUCAGCAGGAGUUAAGCUGGUUCAACAGUCUCCUGCACGAUCCUGCCUUCUUCCCUGGGGGAUGGGGAGUCAAGGAAAUUGACUCUAGCAGCAAAUGCUAAGAAUAAGGGUCCUUUGAUAGAGGAUGUGCAUGGAAGAAGGGCUUGUGGACAUCUGGGGAACCAGGACAGGUCCUGGGGCCGUGGGAGGAGCGAGCUGCACAGGAGACCUUCUGGGAGAAGCGAGGAAGGAGCCGAGAGCAAAGCUGGAGCCACAGGCCAGUGUGGGGAAAUGAGAAGCCCCAGAGGCCUGACCUCCAGGGUCCCUUCUCAGCGGCAGCCCCUGGGAGGCCCCACGGGAUGGGCUCUAGGCGGGCGCACAUGGCUCAUGGACAGUUCUCUUGCAGGGCUGUGUGCUGGCCGAGGAAGCAGGGGGACCGAUAGUGAGUGUUUCUUGUGGAUACCCUCCUCACCAUUGUUUACAGCCCUGAGGCUUCUUCUCUAGCUCUUGUCAAGGGGCAGAGGAUUCUCCUUCCUCUUUUUUUUUUUUUUUAAAUUUUAUUUAUUUAUUUGAGGGAGAGCACAGAAACAGGGGGAGAGGCAGAGGGGGAACAGGCUUCUGCUGAGCAGAGAGCCCAAUGCAGGACUUGAUCCCAGGACCCUGGGAUCAUGACCUGAGCUGAAGACAGAAACUUAACUCACUGAGCCACCCAGGCGCCCCAUUUUUAAAAGAUACAAACGUCAUAUGACAUCAUAUUAGUUUCAGGUGCACAACAGGAGCCAAAAUUUGUAUAUAUUGGGAAAUGACCACCACAAUAAAUGUAGUUAACAUCCACACCACACAGUUAACAAUUUUUUGGUUGCUUUUUCUGGUUAUGAGAACUCAUAAGUUCUACUCUCUCAGCCGCUUUCAAGUAAGCCCUACACGGCUGGUCACUACAGUCCCCAUGCUGCUCGCUAGAGCCCCAGGACUAGCUUUGUAACUGGAGAUUCGGAGCUUUUGGCCCCCUUCGCCCGUUUCACUCGGGCAACCAUCUAUCUGUUUUCUGUAUCUCCGAUUUCUUUCCUUCUUUUCUUCCUUUCUUUGACACUCCACAUGUAAGUGAUGUCAUAAUAAAUACAGUAUUUACGUUCCCACGUCCAAUUAUCGUAGUGUAAUACUUCCAGACCCAUCCACGAUGACACAAGUGGCAAUAUUUCCUCUUUUCUGUGUAAUAUUACGUGUAAUAUUCCAUUACACAAUUACCCACACCAAAUUUUCUUUACCCAUUUGCUCAUCAGUGGUCAUGUUUUGGCUGUUGUAAAUAAUGCUGCAGAGAACACGGGGGCGCAGAUGUGUUUCCAAUUCAUUCAGCUGUAUUCCCAGUAGUGGGGCCGCUGGAUCUAGGGCAGAUCUACUCAGGACCGCCCGACUGUUCUCUGCAGCGGCUGCCACUCCUUACCCUCCCAGCAGCAGCGCGCAGGGUUCCCUGUUCUCCUCAUCCUCGCCGACACCUGCCAUCUUGUUUUCUGGGUGAGCGCCAUUUGGACAGGUGCAAGGUGACAUCUCAUGAAAGAGCUCGCUGAGAACCGGCGAACUCAUCAGAUCCAGCCCCAGAAUCUGCUUUUUUCCAGGGACGCCCCCCAAGCCCUUCCUCAGCACCUGGCCCAGCUUUCUGGCACCUGCCGAGGAUGACCCUAUGAUGCUGGACUGCUAUCAGGAAUGCAGAAUCCACUCUCAGCAAGGGAGAAUCCCGCUGCCCUCUUGAGUCCAUGAUGUCCGUGGGCCAUUCAGGAAGGAUGGCUGAAGUCCCCCUCGUUAACCUGAGUCAGCCAGACUCGGGGAAAUACGCCUGCAAAUACUGCCAGAGAGAGGUCCCGCGCCAGUGCUCCCCAGCCACAGACGUCCUUCUCGUGGUUCCAGGUGGGAAGGAAGCAUCCCAGAAAGAUCUGGUCUGACCCAUCCGGCCCUCCCACAUCAGAGGAUGAAGAGGGACUCAGAGGAGAGGACAGAAGUUUACCUAAACCUUCCUUCCUGACUCAGAGAGGCUGGUGGUGACACCAGGAGAGAACGUGACUCUUCAGUGCCAGGAGACAGACCUCAUGAUGGCAUCUGUCACAUUUGCUCUGCUGAAGCCAGGUGCUCCUGAGCCUGCUGAUGUCUGAAGACCAUCGGGAACAUGGCUCACCUCGCCCUCGGGACUGUGAGAGCCAGGGACGGUGGCAGCUACUGUCUACUCUCAAGCCGAGGCUCCUUUCUGGGCCUCACAGCCCAGCAACAGCUUAAAACUGUAGGUGAGAGGUAAAGGGAGGACGAAUUUAUAAUUAAAUAACCCUAACCCCUCACUGUUGUGCCCUGUAUCCUUGCCAUGGUCAUGUCCCUUACGCAAACACAGGCGCAGACAGAAGCAGACACAGUCGGAUACAAUGUUGCUCUGGACUUUGCGGUUACUUGCUGGAUCACUGAAGAACAGGAAAAAAUGAAACUUCUCACUUUUACCUUCCCUUAUUCCUCCUCUGAUGCCUUGCCCUUCUCCACGCAGACCCAAGUUUCUGAUUCACAUCACCUUCCCUUCACUGAAGAACUUCUGGUAACACUCCGUGCGAGGCAGGUGUACCAGCAACAAAUUCCCUCAGUUUCUGUCGGUCUGAGGAAGGCUUUACUGCUUCACUUUGAAGGACAAGGUCUCAGGGUCCAGGAUGUUAGAUCAGCAUUUUAUUUCUCUCAACACGCUGACAUCCCACAGCACUGUCUUCCCAGGUGGUUCCCAGGGAGUCGGAUGCGAGCCUCACUGUCGCUGCUGUACAGCCGAGCCCUCUCCUCUCGCUUCCUUCAGGAUUCCCUCUGACUUUCUACCUUGAAAGGGUAUGCACAGAGGUAGCUUCUCGGGCUUUAUUUCCGAUGUUUAUCCUCCUUGCUGUUCUCUCAGUUUCUUGGAUUGCGGUUUUGUGUCUGACAUUAAUUUGGAGAAAAUUCAGCUGUCAUUUCUCUUAUCUCUUGUGUUUCUCCCUCUCUGCUCAUGUUGGUACCUAUGACGUGCGGGUCACACCAUCGUCCACAGCCCUUGGACCCUCCAUUCUGGGUUCUUCCCAGCUGGUUUCUGCUUGCUUCCUGGGUUCGGAGGCUUCUGCUGGCGACUCCUCAGGCACCGAUUUCCUCCCUCGGCCGUGCCCAUCGAGGCAUUCUUCGUUUCUGGCACAGUGUUUCUGGUCUCCAGAGCUUCUUUUGGAGUCUUUCUCGGGAUUUCCACCUGCUUGCUUACACCGCCCAUCUGUUCCUGCCUGCUGUCUGCUUUACCUGGGGCAGCCCCAGCAUGUGAAUCAGGGUGGUUUUAAGCUCCUGAGAUGAUCCUUCCAACAUUUCCGCCGGAUCUGCAUCUGGUUCUGCUGCUGCUGUGUCUCUUCCAACCGCUUGUUUGGCUUUUGGUACACCCUGUCCUUUGCUCCUGAUGGCCAGCCACAACGCGCCAGGCAAAGGAACUGCUGGAAACUGGCCUUUAGUGACCUGGUGCUGAGGGGCUGGGAGCCUUCUAGGGUCCUGGGAUCAUGGCUCUGGCUUGCAGGAACCUGUGCCCCUGGGCUGUGACCCUCACAGGGCUUCUCAGUCCCCCUGCUGUGGUGGGACAUGGUGGCCAGAGCUGGCUAGGGUUGGGUGUUUCUCUCCUUCCAGGUCACUUAGGCUCUGAUCAGACCCCAGGAGGCGAGGCUCAGUAUUUCUUUCUUUUCUGUGUAAUAUUACGUGUAAUAGAACUCUGCUUUAUUUCCAAGUAGAUUUUCCCCUCUCCCCACCAGAAGCAGAGGGGGAUUUUUCUUGGCUCUUCACCAGAAGAACCUGACAGAGCUCCAGGAGGUGAAACUCCCAGACCCCAAUGCCCGAGCCCCUGUGACCAGCUCCCCGGAGUUCCUAACUUGCAGACUUGUCCAAGCCAAGUAUCCCUACCUGGCACGGGUUCCCACGGAGGUUUCAGCUUGUGGGAUCUUGCUCGGCAAACUGUGAUUCUCUGGACUCCCAGGUUGGCUUCUGAGAGCCCCGCAGAGGGCUGCUCUGUGACCUCAUUGCCAUUUCAGAUCCAACAAGAGUUAGAGACUUCUCAGUCUGUUCUGCUUUUUACUCUGUUACCGUGGAGUGACGACUUCCAUGCUCAACCAGAAAUCAGAAGCCAAGACCUCUGUCAUCUCGAUCUGGGGAAAUCCUUAGUCAGGGACUCUGUCUUGCUUAGGGACCAGGGCCUCCAUCAUCAGAGAGGACACACACAAGAGCACUGUCUCUUCAGUCUAUUGUUCUCAGCACCACGCUGGGAGAACAGAGGCCCUGGGAGCCAGCACGAGCUGAGACACAUUGGAAGGGACCCUUGCGCACAGAGUGGGAGGCAGGACAGUGACUUUCUCCCCCACAUGACCCAACCUGUGACUAGUAGCAAUCUCUGCCUUUGGGGGUUUGAGGAUUUCCCCUUUCACCAUCCAUUCUCCUCCUUGCAUUAUUUGUUCCCUGUCAUGAUGCAGCACACGCAGAGCAGACCUCUUCUUUGGCCCUCGCCAAUGUACAUUUUACAUAUUUUUAAUUGAUUAUGAAUUUUAAGAAAGCAUUGUCCUAGAGGCCAUGGUAUAUAAUGCAUUCUGUGUCCUGGUGCUUCUGUUUCUGUUCCCUGAUGACUCCGGAUGGCAGCUCACUGACCAGCAGGCACAAGCGGGCUCUGAACAUGACAGUCAGAGUAGGAGGGAGGGAGGGUGCUCUGCGGUCAGGGGUGAGCGCUUGUCUCUUUCCAUUUCCUCAGAUAUGGCACCAGGAAAUCACACCAAGAUUAACCUCCUCCGACUGGGUCUGGCGGCCCCCUUUCUGAUUAUUACGUCCUGGCUGAAGCCUGGCUUCCACAAGGAGCCUCUGCGCAGACCCAAACCCCACAGCUGUUGAGGGGAAUGAUGGGUGUUGAUGAAGUUGGACCCACUGACCGUGAACAGUUUCCAGUAGAAUGCGCAUUCUCACCUCUGCUGAGAGCCACUCCGGGACUAGAUGACGGUCUCCUCUUCUGUACUCCUCACCUGGGACAGAGAACAGGACAGCACCUAAGAAUUCAUCCCACAAAUGAUUACUUCAUGCAACGCCGAACACUCCAGCACUCCUGUUGUUGCACCAACAGGACAUGCCACUUGGGUCCCACCCCAAAUGUCCAUACACAGACGAACCUUUUUCUGGGAUCAUUACUCUAGCUAUUUGCUGUGUCCUUCUUUCCCAUUUUCCUGAUAGCGAAUGAUACUGAGUGUCUGCUCAUGUACUACUGACCUUUCUAAAGAUGUUUAUUAAAAUACAAUCAACAUAUAAUGCUAUACUAGCUUCGGGCACACAACACACUGAUUCAACGAUUCUAUACACUCCUUGAUGCUCACCGUGGUAAGCACAGUCACCAUCGGUCACUACACGACCUUUAUUUUAAUUCCCGAUAAAGUAUCUGAUUAAAUAUUUGCCCAUUUUUAAUUGGAUUAUUUGUCCUCUUAAUAAUGAAUUGCAAGAAUAUAUACAUACUCGAGCCACAAGUCUGUUAACAAACACCUACUCUACCCGUAUUUUUUCUUAUAGUGUGUGACUUGUCUUUUCAUUUUUAAACCUCUCUUAAAGAGAAGUUUUAAGUUUUUGAUUAAUCUCACCAAUUAUGAAUUAUUCUGUCCUCUGUGGUUCGAGUUUUUGUGUCCUAAGGAAUCUUUGCUUAACUCAAGGUCACAAAGAUCUUUUUCCUACAUUUUCUUAUGUAACUAUUAUAGUUUCAGACUGCAUUUACAUCUUAAUCUUUUUUUCUCUAAAGAUUUUAUUUUUAUUUAUUUAUUUUAGCAAGAAAGUGUGCGCAUGCGUGGGAGGCAAAGAGUAAGAAUACUUGAGUUGAAGUCUCCUCCUUCUAGGACUGCGUGUGUCUGUUCCCGAAAGUUCGCAGGUGGAAACCUUAACCCCCCAAUGUGAUGGUGUUGGGAGGUGGGGCCUUUGAGAGGUAAUUAGGUCAUAAGGAUGUGGUCUUCAUGAAUGGGAUUAGUCUCUUCUUAUAAGAGUCUCUUUUUAUAAGAAAGAUGAUCUCUCUUCACCAUGUGAGCUUAAAGGGCAAAGGCAGCCAUCUAUAAACUGGGAAGAAGGCGCUCACUAAGAAUCCCGUGUUAGCACCCUGGUCUGGGACUUCCAGCCUCCAGAACAGUGGGAAGUAAACAUGUGCUGGUAAAGUAAACAUGGGCCACCCGGUCUGUGGUCCUCCGUUAGGGCGGCCUGAGCUGACGGACCCCCGCAGGUGGGACAGGGGAGGAGUGCAAGUCCUCCCUUUCUUGGAAUACCCACUGGGAUUCUGUGGUUUUAGGUCACCAAGCAGUGAGCCCUGUCCUGUUUGGAGUAUCGGGGAAUGAAAGGAGACAAUGGAAAAAAUGGCUUCAAAAGCCUUUCCCCGCCAGAGCUAAGGCUGACACACGCACUUCUCUGCGAGGACAAGGUUAUCCCCAUCUCCGAGCCAGCCCUUCUCCCCUCAGGUCGGCGUGGGUGACUAUGGGGUGGUGUUAGAAGUGGUGCUCACUUCGCGGAGGAAGAUGGUGAGUUCUGGGGACCUGGCAUCUUUUCACAUCCGUGGAAAAAUCUCUGAGGGGCGCUCCCACUGGGCAUCCUCUCAGUCAGCCACUGUGCAUUUGCUGAGGCCCUACUGUGCACCAGGACCCCUGUCCACAGAUGCCAAGGUUCCCAGCACAGCGUCCCUGCUUUCUGGGCGAGGGACAUCCCACCUCCCGUAGCAUGAGGACAUCCACUUCUAUGAACCUGCUCGAGACUUUACAACCAGAGGGAUGUUAGCAUCCUGGUGACAGCAGUCAGUCCGCUUCUCGCUCCCUUCUGAGCACAAAUCCACGUCCUUAUGUGAACGGAAGCACCUCUGCACAGCUCAUUGGGACGCCAGAGACCCAUCCCCGUGCGCACGGAAGGCUCCCAGUCUCGGUUGGGAGGCAGUGCUGCCAAGAGAAACUGAGAUGGGUGCCCUGGCGCCACCUUCUGGGAAACAGAAGAAAGGAUGCUACCAACCAGCGUGUUGAACCCUGAGAAUCAAACAGAGAAGGUGCUCCCUCCUUCCAGGGCGGGGGCAGAGAGCCUUCUCACCAAACACGGAAAAAUCACGGCAGCAUAGCAUCACGAAAAGCAAAUGACAAUUUCCCAAUAACCAACGAAUCCAAAGACAAUACUGAGAUCUGAGAAAGAAUUCAAAAGAGCUGUGGUGGGGCACCUGGGCGGCACAGGCCAUCGAGUAUCUGACUAACUCUUGCUUUCAGCUCAUGUCAAUGUCAGGGUCUUGAGACUAAGCCCCACAUCUGGCUCCGUGCUGGGUGUGGAGCCUGGUUAGGAUUCUCCCUCCUUCUCCCCCUGGCCUUUUACUCCCCACACCUGCAGCCCCACUCUCUGUGCUCUCUUAAAAACAAAACAAAACAAAACAAAACUGAGCACAUGGCUGGCUCAGUGGGUGGAGUGUGCAAUUCUUGAUCUUGGGGUUGUGAUUUCAAGCCCCACGUUGGGCAUAAAACCUACUUAAAAAUAAAAUUUUUUUAAAAAGUGAAUUCAAAAGAGCUGCAAUGAAGACAUUCAGUGAGCUACAAGAAAACUCAGGAAGUCAGUACAAUGAACUCAGGAAUAAAAUUAAUGAACAGAAGGAGUAUCUUACCAAAGAGACUGAAAUUCUAAAAAAGAGCCAAACAGAAAUUCUAGAGCUGAAAAACUCAAUAAAUGAGAUGGACACUACAUUAGGAAGCACUGGAAAUAGAGCAGAUCACCUGGAGGAGAGACCCAGGGGCCCCAAGAACUAAGAUUUUUAAAGCAAAUAAACCGUACAGGAGGGGCGCCUGGCCAGCUCAGAUGGUGCAGUGUGUGGCUCUUGAUCUUAGGAUUCUGGA